UACAGAGGGUGCGAGCGUUAAUCGGAAUUACUGGGCGUAAAGCGUGCGUAGACGGUUUCGUAAGUCGGGUGUGAAAUCCCCGGGCUCAACCUGGGAAUUGCAUUCGAAACUGCGAGGCUAGGGUACGGAAGAGGGAAGCGGAAUUUCUGGUGUAGCGGUGAAAUGCGUAGAUAUCAGAAGGAACAUCAGUGGCGAAAGCGGCUUCCUGGUCCAGUACCGACGUUCAGGCACGAAAAGCGUGGGGAGCAAACAGG
rnacentral:rRNA from 1 species